rnacentral:rRNA from 1 species
CGUACACUCCUACGGGAGGCAGCAGUGGGGAAUAUUACACAAUGGGCGCAAGCCUGAUGCAGCCAUGCCGCGUGUAUGAAGAAGGCCUUCGGGUUGUAAAGUACUUUCAGCGGGGAGGAAGGCGAUAAGGUUAAUAACCUUGUCGAUUGACGUUACCCGCAGAAGAAGCACCGGCUAACUCCGUGCCAGCAGCCGCGGUAAUACGGAGGGUGCAAGCGUUAAUCGGAAUUACUGGGCGUAAAGCGCACGCAGGCGGUCUGUCAAGUCGGAUGUGAAAUCCCCAGGCUCAACCUGGGAACUGCAUUCGAAACUGGCAGGCUAGAGUCUUGUAGAGGGGGGUAGAAUUCCAGGUGUAGCGGUGAAAUGCGUAGAGAUCUGGAGGAAUACCGGUGGCGAAGGCGGCCCCCUGGACAAAGACUGACGCUCAGGUGCGAAAGCGUGGGGAGCAAACAGGAUUAGAAACCCCAGUAGUCCCAUGAU